rnacentral:rRNA from 1 species
ACGAACGCUGGCGGCGUGCCUCAUCCAUGCCAGUCGAGCGGACUUUCAAGAAGCUUGCUUUUUGAAAGUUAGCGACGGACGGGUGAGUAACACGUGGGCAACCUGCCUGCAAGACGGGGAUAACUCCGGGAAACCGGGGCUAAUACCGGAUAAUAUCUUCCUUCGCAUGAAGGAAGGUUGAAAGGCGGCGCAAGCUGCCGCUUGCAGAUGGGCCCGCGGCGCAUUAGCUAGUUGGUGAGGUAACGGCUCACCAAGGCGACGAUGCGUAGCCGACCUGAGAGGGUGAUCGGCCACACUGGGACUGCGACACGGCCCAGACUCCUACGGGAGGCAGCAGUAGGGAAUCUUCCGCAAUGGACGAAAGUCUGACGGAGCAACGCCGCGUGAGCGAAGAAGGGCUUCGGAUCGUAAAGCUCUGUUGUCAGGGAAGAACAAGUACCGUUCGAACAGGGCGGUACCUUGACGGUACCUGACCAGAAAGCCACGGCUAACUACGUG